UACGGAGGGUGCAAACGUUGCUCGGAAUCAUUGGGCGUAAAGCGCACGUAGGCGGUCCAGCAAGUCGGGUGUGAAAGCCCUCGGCUUAACUGAGGAAGUGCAUCCGAAACUGGCAGGCUAGAGUACUAAAGAGGGUCGCGGAAUUCCCGGUGUAGAGGUGAAAUUCGUAGAUAUCGGGAGGAACACCGGUGGCGAAGGCGGCGACCUGGGUAGAUACUGACGCUGAGGUGCGAAAGCGUGGGGAGCAAACAGG
rnacentral:rRNA from 1 species